rnacentral:misc_RNA from 1 species
UAACAAACUAAAGAUAGAGGACAAAAGUGUAACAAUUUUAAAAGUUGAAGGACUAAAAUGUAACAAAUUCUAAAGUUGAGAGAUUUUAUAGUAACGAAUUAAAUUAAAAUGGAGAAUGAAAGUGUAACAAUUUCAAAAGUUGAAACAUUUGACUAAUUUUUGUCACUUUUCCCAGCAUUAAGUGAGAUGAAAUUGAUAAAAGAUAUCCAAGAUUUUCCAGUAGGCCAAGUUGAUGCCAAAUUAGCAGCUAGAGUUGAUGAAGUUUCUCCAUGAAUGGGUAGACAAGUAAGAGCUACAACUUCUCUCAAAGUAACGAACAUGGGUCCUAGUGCAAGUAUGAAACAGUUACAGUGCCAAGACCAGAAUGGUAAUAGAGUAGUCAACAGUGGUUCAUCAUAGGCAAUAUCAACCAAGCUCAAGUCUAUCAACUUCAUCAUGUGCAUAUCUUGCCAAGUUUGCUCAUAUUUGGGGCAAAGAUAGUUCAAGCAAUUUUGUCCAGCCAUCAUGUAGCCUCGACAAGAUUUCAUGAAAACAAGGUCCUAAGAAGUAGUCUGUUUGCUUGAAGGAUUCUAUGUGAAUCAAACAGUGGAUAAGGCAGGACAUAGUGAGUAAUUUCUUUAAAAGUGGGAACUAGGCCUAGACAAGAACCAGGGGGAUUAAAGGAAGCAACAAUGGUGGCUCUAUUCAACAUAAGAUAAGAGCAAGUUAUGGUUUGAGCAUGGAAAGAAAAGUUAAUGGUGGAGAUACUACACUUACCUUGGAUCAUCUAGAACGAUGGUAGUAGCCGGUGGUGGAUUGGUUUGAUUGUUUGACAAGUCUAUGGAAGGAAGUUUUGCCAUGGUGAUAUGUAAAACAGAAUGGUUAAUUCAGAAGAAAAGCAUGCAAGAAGUAAGUCUUGAUCCUAAAGGACUUAUUGGAGAUGCAACAGUAGGUGGUGCUAAGAAUAUAGAGAUGGUACCUUGUACUGCCUACAAACAAGUUCAGUUGUGUCAAGAGAGAGAGAGAGAGAGAGA